rnacentral:misc_RNA from 1 species
GAAGGAUCAUUGCACACACAAGUGGCAGCCAACCCGCGGCGAACGAACACAUUGUCCCCCUCGGUGGGUCGCGGCGCCUCGCGGCGUCGCGGCCGGCCAUCUCCCCUCGUCACGAGGGGGGGUCUUCACGAUGGAUCCACCUUGAGCGAGAAUGACUGAGUCCCUGGAUACGAGUGAGAAGUGCGAGCUCCGCGGCCCCCCUCCGAUGGAAACGAGAGCGGGCUUCGGCCUGCUCGCGGAGGGGGUCGUGGCGCUGGUUACCUUGCGAGUUGAAACACAUCAAUAUGUAAGAACAACUCUCAGCAACGGAUAUCUUGGCUCUUGCAACGAUGAAGAACGCAGCGAAAUGCGAUACGUAGUGUGAAUUGCAGAAUUCCGCGAAUCAUCGAGUCUUUGAACGCAAGUUGCGCCCGAGGCUUGUCCGAGGGCAUUUCCGCUAGAGCGUCACCGCGCCCCCCCACCGACCCACCCCACGCGGCGUGGGGUCGAGUGAAAGCGGCCAUCCCGGAGGAGGCGGAGGAGGAGCCAGGGGUCUACUACCCCCUGAUUCCUUUCCUUUUCUGAAGGGUUGGCUGAAAUGGAAGGAAACGGGCCGCCGUGGUGACACAGUCCGCGAUCGGGUGAUCCGGACUGCCUUUCGGAAGGAAGGGAGUCCGGAAUUUUUCUAAGUGCUGCGUGGCUGCGUCCCCCAGUUGGUUUUCGGUGUUACCUCAUGCAGGUCGAGCGCGCCGCCGCCGCCGCCUCGUGGCUCCUUCGGGAGUGCGGGUCGGGAGUGGCGCGCGUCACGCAUCAGACC